UACAGAGGGUGCAAGCGUUAAUCGGAAUUACUGGGCGUAAAGCGUGCGUAGACGGUUACAUAAGUCAGAUGUGAAAGCCCCGGGCUCAACCUGGGAAUUGCAUUUGAGACUGUGUAGCUAGGGUGCGGAAGAGGGAAGCGGAAUUUCCGGUGUAGCGGUGAAAUGCGUAGAUAUCGGGAAGAACACCCGUGGCGAAGGCGGUUCUCUGGGACGGUACUGACGCUGAGACGCGAAAGCGUGGGGAGCGAACAGG
rnacentral:rRNA from 1 species